AUGUGAAAGCACUAUAAAUCUGUUGAGUAUUUUACACGCGUAAGUGUUAGAAUCAUUCUUUUUUCUUAGCCCUGUGUCCUGAGUGCCCCCCAACCUGGACCACCUACCUCCAGUGUCACCACGGCAACUACUGACCCGGGGGCCUCCUCUCUGGGCAAGGCCCCCUCCAACUCAGGGAGACCCCCCCAACUCCUUAGCCCUCUGCUGGGUGCCAGCCUGCUGGGUGACCUGUCUUCACUGACCAGCAGCCCUGGAGCCCUCCCCAGCCUGUUGCAGCCUCCUGGCCCUCUUCUCUCUGGCCAGUUGGGGCUGCAGCUCCUCCCUGGGGGGGGAGCUCCUCCACCCCUCUCAGAGGCUUCUAGUCCCCUAGCCUGCCUGCUACAGAGUCUCCAGAUCCCUCCAGAGCAGCCAGAAGCCCCCUGUCUACCCCCCGAGAGCCCUGCCUCAGCCCUCGAACCAGAGCCUGCCAGGCCUCCCCUCAGUGCCUUAGCCCCACCCCAUGGUUCUCCCGACCCCCCAGUCCCUGAGCUGCUCACUGGGAGGGGGUCAGGGAAACGGGGCCGGAGGGGAGGAGGGGGACUUAGGGGCAUUAAUGGUGAGGCCAGGCCAGCCCGGGGCCGAAAGCCUGGCAGCCGGCGGGAGCCUGGCCGACUGGCCCUCAAAUGGGGGACACGUGGUGGCUUCAAUGGACAAAUGGAAAGGUCCCCAAGAAGAACCCACCAUUGGCAGCAUAAUGGGGAGCUGGCUGAAGGGGGUGCUGAGCCCAAGGAUCCACCCCCUCCCGGGCCCCAUUCUGAGGACCUUAAGGUGCCCCCGGGAGUAGUCAGAAAGUCUCGUCGUGGCCGUAGGAGAAAAUACAACCCUACCCGGAACAGCAAUAGCUCCCGCCAGGACAUUACCUUGGAACCCAGCCCUACAGCCCGAGCGGCUGUCCCUCUGCCUCCCCGGGCCCGCCCUGGCCGUCCUGCCAAAAACAAGAGGAGGAAACUGGCCCCAUAGCAGCCAUACCUGGAGCUGGAUCUGACCCUGAUUGGGGAGAGCUGAGUGCUGAGCCUUGGGAGCCCCUGCCAGCCACCUGCACCUGUGGACAGUGGCCAACAGGCUCAGUUUACAAACCUGUGAGCUACUGUUGGCUGCUGCCCUCCUUCCCAGUGAAAGGUACAAAGCAAUAAGCAUCAUGCAUCCUCCCCUUACCCCCUCCAACACCCCUCUGCCUCUGGCUCAGGUUGCUCAAAGCACAGAUCCCCUCUUACCCCGUCCCCAGGUUUGAAACACAUAGCCUCAUUUCAAGGUGUAGCCAGGUUCCCCCGACUUUCCUCUGGGAUAUAAAAAAGGGGGUAAGGGGGCAAAGAGAGCCCUCUGGGCCUCUCCUCCCAUACACACUACACUGCCCCUUCUCCCCCCAUCAAAACGCUCAGAGACGUUGUGAUGAUGCGACUGAGGAUUAUGCAACGUGGUCCAACCGGAGCGGCCAGCAUGACCAGCUGUCCAGGGGCUGCCUCCUGCCUUUUCUUUUGUAAAGACAAGACCCUUGGGAGUUUUAAUUCUGUUUUGUACUUGCCCUGUGGGGCCUCCACUGCUUUUCUAUGGG
rnacentral:lncRNA from 1 species